AUGAAGAGGAUCUUGAGCUCUCUGCUGGGGCUUUUGUGCACCCACAUUUUCUGUGUGAGAGGGAUGCAGGUGGAGCAGAGUCCUCCAGCCCUCAUCCUCCAGGAGGGAGCCAAUUCCACUCUGUCAUGCAGUUUUUCUGACUCAGUGACCAAUGUACAGUGGUUUCGCCAAGAUCCUGGGGGACGCCUCGUCAACCUGCUCUCCAUUCCUUUAGGGACAAAGCAGAAUGGAAGAUUAGAGGCCACGACAGUCCCUAAAGAACGCCACAGCUCAUUGUCCAUCUCCUCUUCUCAGCCCACAGACUCAGCCACUUAUUUCUGUGCUGCAGCCCACAGUGCUCCCCAGCAGCCUGCAGCUGGUACAUAA